AUUGAACGCUGGCGGCAGGCUUAACACAUGCAAGUCGAGCGGGGGAAGGUAGCUUGCUACCGGACCUAGCGGCGGACGGGUGAGUAAUGCUUAGGAAUCUGCCUAUUAGUGGGGGACAACAUCUCGAAAGGGAUGCUAAUACCGCAUACGUCCUACGUGAGAAAGCAGGGGAUCUUCGGACCUUGCGCUAAUAGAUGAGCCUAAGUCGGAUUAGCUAGUUGGGGGGGUAAAGGCCUACCAAGGCGACGAUCUGUAGCGGGUCUGAGAGGAUGAUCAGCCACACUGGGACUGAGACACGGCCCAGACUCCUACGGGAGGCAGCAGUGGGGAAUAUUGGACAAUGGGGGGAACCCUGAUCCAGCCAUGCCGCGUGUGUGAAGAAGGCCUUAUGGUUGUAAAGCACUUUAAGCGAGGAGGAGGCUACUCUAGUUAAUACCUAGGGAUAGUGGACGUUACUCGCAGAAUAAGCACCGGCUAACUCUGUGCCAGCCGCCGCCGUAA
rnacentral:rRNA from 1 species